rnacentral:rRNA from 1 species
AUGGCGCAUACUGUCGACUGGACAUUUUUACUCUGGCGCUUUGUAGUGGAGGAGAUGUUCGAGCUGAGGAAGGGGAUGAGAACCGAUUGGGCGUGCUACUACGGCGCAUACCUGCAGAGGCUCAUGUGGGUGAAGAUGCAGGACCUGUUCUUGCCACCACCGGUGGCGCCACCGGAGCAAGCGGCAGGAAACAACCACCGGUCGAAAGCCGACGACAAUCAGAAGCUCUGUUCAGAGCUGGAGUCCAAGAUGCAGGAGUCUGAAGUGAGAUCACAGCUGCUUGAAGCAGAGGUUAAGGCGAAAUCAAGGCAACUUGAUGCUCUAGCUGCGCAGUAUCACCACGAAAUGAGGAACCUCGAGCAAGAUAAGAAAAUGCAACUUGAUGCUCUAGUUGCGCGGCAUCACUACGACAUGAGGAACCUCGAGCAAGAUAAGAAAAUGUUGCAGGAUGAGGUGCACACAGUCAAGCUGCUGAAUCAGGCUCUGGUUUGCAAGGAAACAGAGAGCAGGGAUGAAGUGCAGCGGGUUCUGAAAGAGCUGACUCAUGUGAGCAAGCAGCUAGCAGAGUUGAAGGAUGAGAUGCACAUGGUGGAGUCACUUAACCAGGCUCUGGUUAACAAGGAAACGAAAAACGACGAUGAACUUCAACGAGGACAGGAGGAGAUGACAGAUGUGAGAAAGCAACUAGCACAUUUACAGGAGGAGAUGCGCGCCAUUGACUUGCUCAACCAGUAUUUCCGGACGGAGGGAGUACCAAGGAAGCUAAAGACGAUGAAUUGGAGAGGGUUCGGAACGAGCUAG